GCGCUUGUAGCUCAGCUGGAUAGAGUACCUGGCUACGAACCAGGUGGUCGUAGGUUCGACUCCUACCAAGCGCA
rfam:Oleispira antarctica strain RB-8, complete genome sequence.